rnacentral:rRNA from 1 species
CCUACGGGAGGCAGCAGUGAGGAAUAUUGGUCAAUGGGCUUACGCCUGAACCAGCCAAGUCGCGUGAGGGAAGACUGCCCUAUGGGUUGUAAACCUCUUUUGUCAGGGAGUAAUUGGCGCUACGUGUAGCGUUAUCUAGAGUACCUGAAGAAAAAGCAUCGGCUAACUCCGUGCCAGCAGCCGCGGUAAUACGGAGGAUGCGAGCGUUAUCCGGAUUUAUUGGGUUUAAAGGGUGCGUAGGCGGAAUGCCAAGUCAGCGGUAAAAUCGCGGGGCUCAACCUCGCUCCGCCGUUGAAACUGGCGUUCUUGAGUGGGCGAGAAGUAUGCGGAAUGCGUGGUGUAGCGGUGAAAUGCAUAGAUAUCACGCAGAACUCCGAUUGCGAAGGCAGCAUACCGGCGCCCAACUGACGCUGAAGCACGAAAGCGUGGGUAUCGAACAGGAUUAGAUACCCCAGUAGUC